rnacentral:rRNA from 1 species
CGCGGCCUAUCAGCUUGUUGGUGGGGUAAUGGCCUACCAAGGCGACGACGGGUAACCGGCCUGAGAGGGCGACCGGUCACACUGGGACUGAGACACGGCCCAGACUCCUACGGGAGGCAGCAGUGGGGAAUAUUGCGCAAUGGGCGAAAGCCUGACGCAGCAACGCCGCGUGAGGGAUGAAGUACGUCGAGAUGUAAACCUCUUUCAGCAGGGACGAAGCGAAAGUGACGGUACCUGCAGAAGAAGCGCCGGCUAACUACGUGCCAGCAGCCGCGGUAAUACGUAGGGCGCAAGCGUUGUCCGGAUUUAUUGGGCGUAAAGGGCUCGUAGGCGGUCUGUCACGUCGGAUGUGAAUACUCAGUGCUUAACACUGGGCCUGCAUUCGAUACGGGCAGACUAGAGUUCGGUAGGGGAGACUGGAACUCCUGGUGUAGCGGUGGAAUGCGCAGAUAUCAGGAAGAACACCGAUGGCGAAGGCAGGUCUCUGGGCCGAUACUGACGCUGAGGAGCGAAAGCGUGGGGAGCGAACAGGAUUAGAUACCCUGGUAGUCCACGCCGUAAACGGAGGGCACUAGGUGUGGGAAACUAUCUACGUUUUCCGCGCCGCAGCUAACGCAUUAAGUGCCCCGCCUGGGGAGUACGGA